AACGCUGGCGGCGUGCCUAAUACAUGCAAGUAGAACGCUGAAGAGAGGAGCUUGCUCUUCUUGGAUGAGUUUGCGAACGGGUGAGUAACGCGUAGGUAACCUGCCUUGUAGCGGGGGAUAACUAUUGGAAACGAUAGCUAAUACCGCAUAACAAUGGAUGACACAUGUCAUUUAUUUGAAAGGGGCAAUUGCUCCACUACAAGAUGGACCUGCGUUGUAUUAGCUAGUAGGUGAGGUAACGGCUCACCUAGGCGACGAUACAUAGCCGACCUGAGAGGGUGAUCGGCCACACUGGGACUGAGACACGGCCCAGACUCCUACGGGAGGCAGCAGUAGGGAAUCUUCGGCAAUGGGGGCAACCCUGACCGAGCAACGCCGCGUGAGUGAAGAAGGUUUUCGGAUCGUAAAGCUCUGUUGUAAGUCAAGAACGAGUGUGAGAGUGGAAAGUUCACACUGUGACGGUAGCUUACCAGAAAGGGACGGCUAACUACGUGCCAGCAGCCGCGGUAAUACGUAGGUCCCGAGCGUUGUCCGGAUUUAUUGGGCGUAAAGCGAGCGCAGGCGGUUUGAUAAGUCUGAAGUUAAAGGCUGUGGCUCAACCAUAGUUCGCUUUGGAAACUGUCAAACUUGAGUGCAGAAGGGGAGAGUGGAAUUCCAUGUGUAGCGGUGAAAUGCGUAGAUAUAUGGAGGAACACCGGUGGCGAAAGCGGCUCUCUGGUCUGUAACUGACGCUGAGGCUCGAAAGCGUGGGGAGCGAACAGGAUUAGAUACCCUGGUAGUCCACGCCGUAAACGAUGAGUGCUAGGUGUUGGAUCCUUUCCGGGAUUCAGUGCCGCAGCUAACGCAUUAAGCACUCCGCCUGGGGAGUACGACCGCAAGGUUGAAACUCAAAGGAAUUGACGGGGGCCCGCACAAGCGGUGGAGCAUGUGGUUUAAUUCGAAGCAACGCGAAGAACCUUACCAGGUCUUGACAUCCCGAUGCUAUUUCUAGAGAUAGAAAGUUACUUCGGUACAUCGGUGACAGGUGGUGCAUGGUUGUCGUCAGCUCGUGUCGUGAGAUGUUGGGUUAAGUCCCGCAACGAGCGCAACCCCUAUUGUUAGUUGCCAUCAUUCAGUUGGGCACUCUAGCGAGACUGCCGGUAAUAAACCGGAGGAAGGUGGGGAUGACGUCAAAUCAUCAUGCCCCUUAUGACCUGGGCUACACACGUGCUACAAUGGUUGGUACAACGAGUUGCGAGUCGGUGACGGCAAGCUAAUCUCUUAAAGCCAAUCUCAGUUCGGAUUGUAGGCUGCAACUCGCCUACAUGAAGUCGGAAUCGCUAGUAAUCGCGGAUCAGCACGCCGCGGUGAAUACGUUCCCGGGCCU
rnacentral:rRNA from 1 species